CCCCUAGUAACUGCGAGUGAAGCGGGAAAAGCUCAAAUUUAAAAUCUGGCAGUCUUUGGCUGUCCGAGUUGUAAUCUAGAGAAGUGUUAUCCGCGCUGGACCGUGUACAAGUCUCCUGGAAUGGAGCGUCAUAGAGGGUGAGAAUCCCGUCUUUGACACGGACUACCAGGGCUUUGUGAUGCGCUCUCAAAGAGUCGAGUUGUUUGGGAAUGCAGCUCAAAAUGGGUGGUAAAUUCCAUCUAAAGCUAAAUAUUGGCGAGAGACCGAUAGCGAACAAGUACCGUGAGGGAAAGAUGAAAAGAACUUUGGAAAGAGAGUUAAACAGUACGUGAAAUUGCUGAAAGGGAAACGCUUGAAGUCAGUCGCGUUAUCCAGGGAUCAGCCUUGCUUUUGCUUGGUGCACUUUCUGGUUGACGGGUCAGCAUCAAUUUUGACCAUUGGAAAAAGAUGAAGGGAAUGUGGCAUCUUCGGAUGUGUUAUAGCCCUUGGUUGUAUACAAUGGUUGGGAUUGAGGAACUCAGCACGCCGCAAGGCCGGGUUUAUACCACGUACGUGCUUAGGAUGCUGGCAUAAUGGCUUUAAUCGACCCGUCUUGAAACACGGACCAAGGAGUCUAACAUACCUGCGAGUGUUUGGGUGGAAAACCCGAGCGCGUAAUGAAAGUGAAAGUUGAGAUCCCUGUCGUGGGGAGCAUCGACGCCCAGACCAGACCUUUUGUGACGGUUCUGCGGUAGAGCAUGUAUGUUGGGACCCGAAAGAUGGUGAACUAUGCCUGAAUAGGGUGAAGCCAGAGGAAACUCUGGUGGAGGCUCGUAGCGAUUCUGACGUGCA
rnacentral:rRNA from 1 species